GUUAGGAAUAUUGGACAAUGGGCGCAAGUCUGAUCCAGCCAUGCCGCGUGAACGAUGAAGGCCUUCGGGUUGUAAAGUUCUUUAGCCGAUGAUUAUAAUGACUGUAGUCGGAAAAUAAGCCCCGGCUAACUUCGUGCCAGCAGCCGCGGUAAUACGAAGGGGGCGAGCGUUAUUCGGAAUCACUGGGCGUAAAGCGUGCGUAGGCGGUCUCGUAAGUUAGGAGUGAAAGCCCAGGGCUCAACCUUGGAAUUGCUCUUAAAACUGCAAGGCUAGAAUCUCGGAGAGGAUAGCGGAAUUUCCAGUGUAGCAGUGAAAUGCGUAGAUAUUGGAAGGAACACCAGUGGCGUAAGCGGCUAUCUGGACGAGUAUUGACGCUGAGGCACGAAAGCGUGGGGAUCAAACAGGAUUAGAAACCCUGGUAGUCC
rnacentral:rRNA from 1 species